GCGCCCAUAGCUCAACUGGAUAGAGUGUCUGACUACGGAUCAGAAGGUUGGGGGUUCAAAUCCUCCUGGGCGCGCCA
rnacentral:tRNA from 1 species